CUUUGUUCCAGCUUUGGGGUCUUUGAAACUUUUGCCUGUCUGACUCUCCAUCUGUGUUUCAGGUCAGGCCUUGGGGAAGGCUGAGGAAAGGCCAGCUCCUGGCACAGCCUGAUGCUGAGGCAGCUGUUUCUGACCAGGUCAAAGGCUCAGGAUGUGGCCCUUAAGAAGGAAUGAUGUGCUCCCCACGCUGCCCUGAUAUUUACUUUGACCUAGUCCAUGACCCUCCCUUCCUACUUGAGAAAACCAGCCUGCUGAGUCCUGGAGGCCCACAAAGGGGAAGUGCCAGAGGUGCUGGAACCCAAGUCUCUGACACCCUGUGCAGUUCUCAUCAUGCAGCUGAAGCCACGUGUCCCUUGGCGGUUAUUUGAUGAGCUAACUAUUCGGCUGUGGAAGUCUGACAGUUCCAUGGAGGCCCAAACACACUCCUGUGAGAUGUUGGGGUGCUAGAAGGAAUAACUUCUUGGGAGGCAAGACCCUUGGCCUGCAUCUCAGGUCUGCUAAGCCACCGUGUGAUGCUGAGUGAGCAGCUUGCCCUCUCUGGGCCGUAGCACCAGAGUUGUACUGUGAGUUGUCUGACUCUGGGAUCUCUCAAGGCCUCUUCAGGGACUCCUGCUCUGGGCAAUGUCAAGAUCUUCCCCAAGGCUCAAAGGAGAAGCUUUAGGUGGCAGACGUGAGUAUGCUGAGUAGGACUGGGGCCCACGGCCCUGCGGAGGAUGGUCCGCAGCAGCCCCUUCUCCUCCCUGCCGCCCUGGUGUUGGAGGCCCUGGAGCGAGCAUGGCGACAUCGGGCUGCCUGCUGCCCCCUGGCUGGCACAGUGGCCCACCUCUUUCCUUCUUCAUCCCUCUGUUCUUCCUGGGGAUCCCCUGGUGACGAAUGCUCGCUGUCUCUUCUGGAUGGGAAGUGGGCAUGAAACAUCUCCCACGGUUCAUGGGCGCUGGCCCUCGGACGUGGCAGAGUCCCACCCGUUCUUGGGCCCAACCUGGGCAGGUACGCAGUGGCAGAGAGGAAGGAGUGACGGCCUGCUCUCAGGAGCACUAGUCUGGCGGGGGAGGCAGCAGUACCAUUACCAUGGUUGUGAAUCCUCGUCCACUCACUUAACUGGCUUAGGCAUGUCACCUGUCCCUCUUUCCUAGCGCUCACGGCCGCCUCUACAGCCCAUCCUGGGGGGCGGGAAGGAGCCCCUCACCUCAGUUCUCCCAGGUUGUCCUUCUCCCUUCCAGAUGUGGGCACAGUCCAGCGUGCCCAGACAUCAGAGGGAGGACCCUCUGCUCAUCACCCCCGGUCCUCAGGACCUGCCACUUGCCCUGCCUGCGUGGCCCCAUCCACAGAAGGGUGCAGCCACCUUCCAGCACCAUCUAGGGCACGGGCUCCUUUCUGGGGCUGCCCAUGGUCCAUGACCCCCAUGAGGCCUGGUGGAGCCCUUGCUCUGGGCUCUUACUUGUUCCCUGGGGGCAGCACCAGGAAGCCGUGGGCAGGGCCCCUCUCCUUGAGGAACAGCUCUCAUUGCUUUCCUCCCUCCAGCUUGGGGAAAUCUCUUUUUGGUUUGGGGAGAAAUCCUUCCCCAUUCACGAUUCUUCCGAGAUCCCUUCCUUCCUGCUGAGAACUUGGUUCUCCCUCUUUCUUUCUCUGCAAAUCCUCCAUAUUCUUCUAACAGAUUUAUACUUUGUGGAAGCAAAAGCCAGGGUGUCCUUCAGGCAACUUCUGCUUUCUGCUGUGCAGCAAUCCACUUGUGAAGCAAGGAUACACAGAGACCAGGGACAGGAAAAGGAAAGCAGAAAAUUCAGAAAGGAGAAGGCUCCAUGAGUGCGUAUUUUAAAAUAGUGCUCAGGUACACCAUUUGGUGGAAACAUACAUGAACAUGAGUGCCUGCGACAGGCUCACGACUAAGGUCCCCAUGAAACAAAUGGGCUCAGACAAGGGCUAGAUUCUGCUGCGCUGGCUCAGGCCCUGGGGUGAGGACAGGGCAGGACAGGUCCUUGGCUGCAUAACUGGGAGCCAUCCAUGAUGGCAAAACAGCAUUAAACCACACUUGGACCAAGAGGGAUGUCUAUCAGAAACAUCAGUCGUGAGGUGCUAUGCAGAGGGAGGGCAGCCAGGUCCUCGGCUGCAAGCAGGAAGUGGAAACCUAGCCUGAGAUUCAGAAGAGGCAAAGAUCUUGGGCUUGGGGAGUGGCCCUAAGUGGGGCAUGGUUUUGUGGUUCAAGCUGAGGAGUUCAAACCUGGUCCUUAAGCCAUAGGGAGCCAUGGAAGGUUUUUGAGCAGAGGAGUGGGAGAUGAGAGAACUGGAAAGGUCCUGAGUCAGUUUGAAGAGACGAGAGGAAUAGAUAAUCACUGAGCUGGAGGGUAUUUGGAAGACUUCUGGAAGGACUCAUUCAUUCAUUCACUCAACGAAUACUUAUCUUGCACCUUUCACGUGCC
rnacentral:lncRNA from 1 species